rnacentral:rRNA from 1 species
UUCCGCCCCCCCCCCCCCCCCCCAUCCCUCCCCUCCCGCCUGGCCCCCCCGCCCACCAGCCCUUGCCCUCCAAGGUAUAUUGGAGGGCAAGUCUGGUGCCAGCAGCCGCGGUAAUUCCAGCUCCAAGAGCGUAUAUUAAAGUUGUUGCAGUUAAAAAGCUCGUAGUUGAACCUUGGGUUUUGGAGGGAGGUCCACCUCACGGUGAGUACUUCCAUAUCCAAGACCUUUCCUCUGCUUCCUCGCAAGAGGCAGCAGAAUAUUACUUUGAGUAAAUGAGAGUGUUCAAAGCAGGCGCACGCUUGAAUCUGUUAGCAUGGAAUAAUAGAAUAGGACGCAUGGUUCUAUUUUGUUGGUUUCUAGGACCAUCGUAAUGAUUAAUAGGGACGGUCGGGGGCAUCAGUAUUCAGUUGUCAGAGGUGAAAUUCUUGGAUUUACUGAAGACUAACUACUGCGAAAGCAUUUGCCAAGGACGUUUUCAUUAAUCAAGAACGAAAGUUAGGGGAUCGAAGAUGAUCAGAUACGGUGCGAAAUAUUCCGG